UGAGAUAUAGAUCAGUGGCAGAAUGCAUGUUAAUAUGAAUGAGGUCUUGGGUUGGAUCCCCAGCACCACAA
rnacentral:tRNA from 1 species